GGCUGAUCUUGAACUCCUGACCUAGGCCCACCUCAGCCUCCCAAAAUGCUAGGAUUGAUUACAGGCCUGAGCCACCGCACCCAGUCCAGUGAGCAUCUUCAUGACCAUUAUUUUGAAUUCUCAUAUGUGGUAAAUCAUUUAUCUCCAUUUCAUUACAGUCAAUCUCUGGAGAGUUGUCUUUUUCUUUUAUUUAGAGCACAUUUUUAUAUUUCUUCACUUUUCUUGAUCCUGUAUUGGUUUCUUCACAUUAAACAACCACCUCUCUCAGUCUUCACAGACUGGCCUAAUAUAAAAGAGACUUACCAGUUAGUCCAGCCAGAGAUCCUGCCUGGGUCCCCCUCAAAUCUUCAUGGUCAUCUAGACCAUCAUCUUUGUUCUUAGUGGCCCCCAGAGGGCUAGAGUAUGCCAAGUCCCAUUAGUAUCCUAAAACGGGCAAGACAGGAGCCAGUCCCUCAUGUAGCAGCUGGAAAAGUUGGGAUGUUAGAUAGGUAGUCCAAUCCUUUCUCUCCUCAAGCAGAAGCUGUGAGCUGGAAUUUAUCAUCAUUUGCUCAGCACUGAGCCAGGAAGGAUAGCUGGGGCAAAUGCCUGCACUCUCAAAGUACACACUUUUCAAACCGUUGCUUUGCUAUCUGUCACCUCCAGGGGCUUAGCAAAUGCUAGCCAAUAACUCUGAGAGACAGGCACUUUAACUGUAGGCUUGUUUCUGUCUCUGGAAUGAGCCCCAGAAAGGAGGUGCCCACAUACCUAUUCGUCCUGGUGACAAAGCGAGACUCCAUCUCAAAGAAAAAAAAAAUACACAAAAAUCAUCCCAAUUUCCUAGAGCUUACAUUUAGUAAACAUCAACAGAGAUUUUUAGCAACAGUCUGGUUUUUCAGCUUAUGUUCAUUUGCCCACUUAUUUGGUAAUUCCUUCAUCGGCAUUAUAUAUCUUAACAUCAUUCUGGUAGAGUGCAAAGGAUGUAGUAUAUCCCAUUGCUCUUUAACACAUAACUGGCUUCCACUUACAUCUUCCCAGAUAUUUCCCAGAUUAUUCUGUGUUCUCUCUCAAGUGUCCUUCAUUCUAGUACAGGAACACAGUAUUCCUGCCUAGUCAGUAUUAGAAAUUAGAACUAAGGGCACAAGCUAUAGUUUUAAGGGCAUGCAUGUGCCAAGAGGAACAGAGCCAUGCUGUAUUGAAGGGUAUGGGGGUGACAUUUUUAAGACAUGGGGAGCAAGGUAGGAUCUCACAAUUGGGGGACAGAGUUCGCAUACUUAACCAUGUCACUAAAUUUCCUGCCAAUAGGGAGAGAGGCAGGAAUCACAGGGUUCUACUGUUGAGGAGAAGGCUAGGAUGGGCCUCGGUGUAAAAAGGUACUGUUGAACACAGAGUGUAAGCAAACGAUGAAAGCUGAAGAACAUUUCUGGCAGGCAGAAACAGAAAGAAGGUUAAGAGAAAAAAUGGAAAGUAACCUGGGAACAUAAGCAGUAGAAGUGAAAAAAAAGGCUGUGAUUCCAGGGGAGAAUUCAGGAGGGGGAAUGUUGAGUCUACAGAACAUCAGAAAAAAUUUUUACUUCUCUUGACAUCACCAAGGAAUGUAUUUGACAUGUGGUGUGGCUUAUUAUUUUUCCUUGCUGUUAACAGAUACUCAUUUUGAUCCUGCUACAUGUAAAGCACUGUGACAAAUGUGGUGGGAAAUUAAGAAUUCAGGCUGAUUGUCCUCUAGGGACUUUUAAUCUAGAUGGAGAGACAAGAUAUAUGCCCAGGAAAAGCUUAGUAGCAAUACAAGGAUGUGUAUGAUUGUGUUCAAGUAAGUGAUUCAAAUAAGAAGAUCAAAGAGAAAGAUCUCAGUUCUUACUGGUGAGGGACACAGGGUCAGUCUGUGACCCCAAAAGGAUUUGGUUGGGGUAUGAGAAGGAGGGAAAGUCCUGGAAACUAAGUAGGAGUCAAGACAAGGAGACUGGCGUUAGUGAGUGUUUAAGAAUGGAAGAAAUCCCAAAGGGACUGAGAAAAUCUAAGUCAUUUGACCCCUUUUAUUUUUUUUACCCAGUGCUUGUUUGUGUGAAGCCUGGAAUAAUUAGACUCUAUGACAUUCUAACCCUCACCUGCACUCUCACUGGUUCUGCCAUUCUGUGGUUGGCCUUCAACCUCUUGACCUGAGUGAAGACAGACAUCUCAGGCAGUUCCCUACUCUGCUCAGUGCUCUCUUUGUAAUCUGCAGUGGUGAGGUCACAUGUUGGAUUCUUCUAUCUAAAUCAAGAAUUCUCUGCUUCUUCAGCUGUCUUCCUUGUUGGCUUUGAUGUGCACUAUUGCAACCAAUCCAAGUUUAACCAGUGCAAAUACCAGUAACCAAAGUGAAUCCAAUAUCAAACAGAGAGGAAACUGGGUAGGGUUGGCUAGGCUGACCUUGGCAGUGGUGACAAGGCUAACUUCUGAAAGUUCAUGCCUAGCCUGUUGUUCGAGACUUCAUAGCCACACACACACUGUUGUUUAACUACUACAUGCAGUGUCUCCAGUCAUGUAGAUGCAAGUGGAGAUAUAAAGGGAAGACAGUAGUAUGGUCAAGAGACAUGUUUGAUGACUAUUUCUUCAUUCAUUUACGUAUUCAAUUCAUCAGUGAACUAUCAUAAACUGAGAAUCUCCUGUCUCUUUUCAACAAAGGAGACCAUGGAAGGGGUAAGAGUGACUAAGGUCUCUGAGGGAAGGAAAAGCCAUAUCAUUGGGCCACAAGAGGGAAAAAGCAACAAAAGACAGAGACUUGUUGGUGCCAACUAAAUGAGCAAAACAGCAGUGACUAAAAAAAAAACACCACUGCACUAGAAAAACAAAACUAAACUAAAACUGCACCAAAGAAGUUUCUCAUCGGCUCUUGAGAGCAGGUUCCUUAAAGGUGAACAAUAUACCACAUACAAGGACUUUUUCAGCACCAUGCAUUAGCAAUUGAACUGGAUGUUUACUAUUUUUUAUAUAAGUUGGUUGAUAUGGCUUUUCAGCUUCCCUCAGUAUCAUUAUCCAAAUUUUGUAGAUGACACUGAAGGUCAGAGGAGUUCAACCAUUUUCCUCAAAUCAUGUAGCUUUAAAUAGGAAAACCAGAUAGGAAAAGCAGAUUUCUUUUUAAAUUAAAAAACAAAAACACGAGCUCUCACUUUACCCUAGCACAUAGUCUCCCCAUCUGUUUUCUCCACACCAGGGCAUUCAUGUAACAUUCAUUCACAUAACAAAUACAGAUCAAUGAGUGGAUUCAUUCAUCAGAUAUGAAUUCAGAAUCUCCUUUGUGUCUACCACAGUAGGCUCAGGACUUCCCAGUGUCUUUGUCUCCUCUCCAUGAAAUCUCUCCACCCAAUGUCUUGACAAAUACUAUAGAUCCUUCCUGCACAACAUCUCCAGAAUUAUUUUCUUCCUUUUCACUCAUCUCUGUCUUCAUCCAUGCUACAGUGUUUCUGGAGGAUGCAUUCUGCACUAUGAAGUGUGAUGGACACUGGCGCUGAAGAAACACUCCUGCUGUCCACCUCAGGAGCUAACACAAUAAAUAUGGAUAAACCGCAAUCCUUUAAUGUCUUUAUGACUUCUUUCCCUUUCUCUCCAGUUACUGUUUUCUCA